rnacentral:lncRNA from 1 species
GGACUAACUGUUUACCAUAUUUUACAGGUUCUAUAAUCAUAACACAUUUCAUAGAACUAACAAUGACAAGAAAUCAUCUAACACAAUAAAGGAGAUAUCAAAUGACUCUAACAACAUUACAAAGGUUUCAUUCUCAGAAUAAGUUACUCUCUUGGUUACAUACUUCUUCAUCUUUUAAUUGCAAGUGUGUUGUAUUAAUGAACUUGAGUGCUCAUUCUACUUUGCGAAAAUCAAAUGAACAAAAUAUGCAGUAGAGGUGCCUGCAUCUAAAAAUGAGCCAAAGGAUUAAUUGCAAAUAGAGGAUGAAGACGUAUAAAAAUCAACAACAAGAUAUGAUCCAAAUUUUUUUGACAUUAUUUAUUUGAAGUCGUCAAAGUUAUUUACAAAGUGAUUUCUCAAACUUGGGAGAUCAACACACUACUUAUGAGGACAUAUGAUUUUCAAUAGGAUCCUUUGUAAGAGAUAUGUUUUGUUUUAUAACUAGAUAUGGAACACCUCUUAGUCACUGUUUAGUUCAGGUUUUUGCUUGGAGAAAUCAUAAAAAAAUAUUUUUUGUUGUUAUGUAUAUACUAUGUAAUGAGGCCUACAACUCAACUUGACUGCUUCUUUACACAUGGAAAAGAGAUUAUAAUAGCCCUUCUAGAGUAAGGAGCAUUCUCCUGAUUUGGAUAGUUCACAUAUUGUUAUUCAUGAUAUUGAUUUGAUUCAAUAUCAUCAAGAAUAGAAAGCUUCUAACGAUAUGUUAUUCAGUUUAUAAGCUUAAAAAUAAUUUAAAUUAGUCAACUUAUCUAGCACUCAAAACUUCAAUGUGUUUUUAACACUAUUUGUAAUUUACAUUAAAGCCUUUGACAGACAGAUACAUGUUAAUGCUCAAGAAAAAUAAUUAAAGCCUCUCUACAAACACAACUUUGUACCGUUUGACUAUAAACACCCGACUAACUUUUCUGACCCAUUGAGAAAGUCAAUCAAUUUUAGUAGUUUCAAUACCACUAACACACAAGCAACACUUCAGUCAGGAAUCUUUCUGAUUUAGUUAUAAAGUAGUUUUCCAUUCUUAAAAAGUUGUAAUGUACUUUUAAUGGCAUAAAAAUAAUUUGUUAUCACCAAUAUAGGUUAGCUAGCCAGCAAUUGAUGUGAAGUCACCCAAUUGACGUCUCAGGUUUUAUUUCUGGCGUGCCAUCCACUUUCUUAAAUUCUUUCAAUUGUCCUUAGAAAUGUCAUACUCC